rnacentral:tRNA from 1 species
AGGUCGAGAUGUAUGGUGGACCCUUUGCUUCCCAAGCAAAGGGUCGCGAGUUCGAUCCUCGUCUCCCGCUCUA